AUGAUUUGCGAAGCUUUUGCCACCGGCUACGACGAGGAUGAGGUGGCGGGGAUGGUGGAGGCGAUGGUCCCCUCAGAGGAUCCGGCGAGGUCCGGUCUGCCGCCCGGCGAGAACAUGGAGGUGCUCCGGCGGGUGGUUCAUCGGAGGACGGCUGCGUCUGCUCUUCGGCCAUGGAAGGGGCCUAUUCCCAAGGUUAUUUUCCGAGCCACGGCCGUGAUCCGUUCAUGGUCGCUACUCACUCCGAUGGAGGCCAGGGAGCAUUUGGUUACUGGAUCUAUCCGCUGGGAGAUGGUAGCUCGGGAUAUCUUCAACCGGUUUGGAUGGCGGUCAUGUAAUAGGAUAGGAAAUUAG
rnacentral:rRNA from 1 species